rnacentral:lncRNA from 1 species
AUGAUUUAUUUAAUAUUUUUUAAAAAAAUAAAAAAGAGAAAGAUAUGAAGACAGUAUUUUGGUUUGCUUAUGAAAUGCAUAUGGCCUGUCAGAUGUCAGGCUCAUUUGACAGUUAAAACUAUUAUUUAAAGACAUACACUGCACUGUGUUUUGGAACUCCUGAUUUCCCUGGAGGUUCUGGAUGAAGGUUGCACACAGGCUCAUUAACAUAAAUCUGUGCUGAGAUCCUCUGGGAUUUGGGAUUGCAUUUUUAUGCAUGGAGCGCAAAAACCAUUCUGGAUUUAGGUGUGACUGAGAAUGGAAGACAGAAUCUAAGGCCAGGUGCAUGAAAUGAGGGGUUUGAGUCAGUAGUCACCUUGGGAAUAUUUCCAUCUUACAGCAAAAUGUUAAUAGCAAUUAGUUGCAGCCUACCUGUAUUCAUUGGGCAGUUUAUUUCAAAGGGUUAUAUGCCUCAUCCCAGAUCUUUAGUGAAAUUUUAUGUGUAAUUGUUGUGUACUCCAUCACGGGAACAGAGAACAUUUGUUUAGUGUUGCACUUUAGACUUGGUAUC